GUGCUUUACUGUGCAAGUCCCUGGAUCGACUCGCUAGCACACACAGUAUAGAUGAAAACCAGAUAUAGCAAGUGCAUCAUUUAUUACAACGUAUGAUCCAGAAUUUAUAAAGUAUAACAAUCUGCAUAGCACUUAACUAGCUCUAUUCUAUUAAACAGCGGAAAAGUAGCAGAAUAAUAACGAUGAGUCCCAUCAUAGCCCACUGGCGAUGUUGAGUGAAGACUCGCGACCCUAACGGUACCUUACUCCUCGUCUGAUUAUCCUGCAACAUGAUACGUUGCAGCAAUAUAGGUCAAUACU
rnacentral:lncRNA from 1 species